GACUCAUCUUGGGGCCCAUAAGGAGUUGGUGAUUGAAACCCAAAACCCAGAACAAAAAAAAUAAUAACUCUUGAGAUUUGAGAUUCCAAAUAAAACCUUUCAAGUUUCAUCAGUUAUCCGCAGCCGCAGAGAUCUCUAAACCCUAAUUUUAUAUUUCUUUCUUUUUUUCUUCAUCGAGAUCAGAGAGUUUCUAAAUUUGUCGAUCAAUCCAUAAAAAAAAACCAUGUCGAUCGGCGGUAAGAGAAGAGAAUAAAAUAGAUCUGAUACAGCUAUUUGUGGUGGCAAGAUAUUUUGCAGAGUCGCACGUGUGGGUCUUCACGUGUGAGUUCAAGUGGGCGUAUCAAGCAACACGUGUACGGUUCACAGCAGCAGGAGGCCGUUAGGAGGAAGACUUUCUUAUCUUUAUAUGAGCACUUGUUUAGCUCUUAUCAUAAUCAUCGAAUAAUCAAUCUGUAAACAAACUCUUAGUUCCGAUAUCGGUACACCGGGUUUCUCUCGUUUUGAGAGCCAGUAUCAGAGCUAAACGAUCCUUGGAAAUGGUUGGAACGCGAUCUCAGGUGGUGGAAGUUCAACCGCAGGAGGUGGUUUCGGUGGAGCCGAUGGAUUCGCGGAUCAAUCGGCUGGAGGUGAUGGUAUUGGAGCAGAAUCAAAAGAUGGUGGAGCAGAAUCAGAAGAUUAUGAAACACAUCGCUGAUAUGUUCGACGCGAUGGGUAGAUCGACGGCUCAACAUGGCAAGGAGAUUCAAAAGGAAGCUGAACGGAGUGAAUCACCAUGCGAUAGGAGCAACCAGAAAUCAUUAUCAUCUCGGAAGGUCCAGAAAUCAUCAUCGUCUCGGGAGGUUCGAUCUAGUGAUUUGGAUCCACCCAAGGUUGUUAGAUCCAAACCGGUAAGAUCUGAUCCUCAGUAUACCUAUGGUAGUCUUACUCGCUUGGAAAAAUCGAUUUCCCUAGGUUCAAUGCGACUCAGAUCAAGGAAUGGUUGUUUAAGGUGGAGGAGUUUUUUUGUUGUGGAUUAUACACCCAGGGAGAUGCGUGUGAAGAUAGCUGCGAUCCACGGCGACUUGGCAUUAUUCUUUUGUUCAAUCCGGUAUUGACCUUGAUGUGUUGGAUGAUUGGAAUGGGUAUGUUUUGUUGCUGAAGGAAAGGUUUGAAGAUGAGAGUGAUGAUCCAAUGGCAGAGUUAAAGCAGCUGCAGGAGACGGAUGGCAUCAUCGACUAUCAUCAGAAGUUUGACCUCAUUAAGACACGAGUUAACCUAUCUGAAGAUUAUUUGGUGAGUUUGUACUUAGCAUGGUUGUGGUUAGACACACAAAUGCAUGUGAGGAUGUUUUAAAUACAAUCAGUGCGUCAGUGUUUGCGACUCGGGAGACUAUACGAAAAGGCACACCCUAGGAAGCAGACUUCACAGUCGUGGAGAACUACAAAGGGUAACACCAGUAACAAUGGUGGUCGACAAACGAGUACCAAUGCUAAGGAGGGAGGUUAUCAAGGUAAUCAAGCUGGUGGAACUCUUAAGGGAAAUGGUACGGCUCCUAAGAAGUUCUUGUCUAAAGAGGAGAUGAGUGAUAGGUGAGCAAAAGGUCUUUGCUAUUGGUGUGAUGAAAAGUUCACCCCGGAACAUUACCAACAACAUAAGAAUACACAGUUGUAUAGCAUGGAGGUUGAUGAAGGAGGUUUGGAGGAAGAUGAGUUGGCUUGUGACGAAGACGGUGAGAAAAAAUGCCAAUGGUGUUUGUUAAUGCAGUGACAGGGGUAUCAGAUUAUAAGACCAUGCGAGUUAAGGGUUUGUACGGGAAGAAACCAAUUUAUGUGUUGCUGGAUUCUGGUUCAACUCAUAAUUUUGUUGAUCCUAGGAUGGCGGCAAGGAUGGGGUGUAAGGUUCAGUCUUCAAAACUAACUCAAGUUUCAGUGGCUGAUGGACGGAAGUUAGGAGUUGAGGGUAAGAUUGAGGGUUUUCAAUGGAGGAUCAUGACAACAUUCUUUGAGUCUAACGUGUUAUUAAUCCCAUUAAGAGGUUGUGACAUGGUCUUGGGAGUGCAAUGGUUGUCGACUUUGGGUCCAAUUACUUGGGAGUUCAAACAGCUAGAGAUGAGUUUCAUGUGGAAUAAUAAGAAAGUGAUGUGUAUGGAAUUCAAAAUGGUUUUGUAUGAGAUGUAAAGGCGCAAAAGCUUAAGAAGAUGGAAUAAGAGGAGGUACAAGUUUCGAUGAUAUGUGUGAAUGAGGUGGAACCUCGUGAGGAAGUGAUUGAGUAUACUGUUGAUACUACUGCUAUUACGGUACACGCCAUGCAUAUCAGGAAAUGGUGUCACUCUUGUUGAAGUAGAUACGUUGGUCAAAGCUUAUCCGGAAGUUUUCGAAGAACCAACUAGCUUGCCACCGUUCAGGAAGCAUCAUGAUCAUAAGAUUCAGCUUCUGGAAGGAGCAAAUCCGGUGAACCAACGACCUUAUAGGUAUGCUAUCCACCAAAAUAAUGAGAUUGAUAAAAUUGUGGAGGAUAUGCUAUCUAGUGGAACAAUUCAACCCAGCUCAAGUCCUUUUGCAUCACCAGUGGUGUUAGUCAAGAAAAAAGAUGGCAGUUGGAGAUUGUGUGUGGACUACAUGGAGCUCAAUGGUGUGACGGUGAAGGACAAAUUCCCAUUUCCCUUGAUCGAGGAUUUGUUAGACGAAUUGGGAGGCUCCAAGAUCUUCUCCAAGAUUGAUUUACGAGCAGGGUAUCAUCAAGUUAGGAUGCGGGUGGAAGACAUCCCUAAGACAGCUUUCAAGAUUCACAGUGGUCACUACGAGUACUUAGUGAUGCCAUUUGGGUUGACGAAUGCCACAGCUACGUUCCUGAGCCUUAUAAACUCGCUUAGGGAGUUGGUGGAUAUGUGACUGUGGCGACUCAAAUUCCCUCAGUGUUGCAGGAUGUCUUUGACAAGAACCGGAGUCCAUUAUUGAGAGGAAGAUGGUUAACAGGCAGGGGAGUGCUGUUACUAAAAUUUUGGUUAAGUGGAUUGAUCAACCGUUAGAGGAGGCGAUGUGGGAAUUUCUGUUUGAUUUUCAAAAGAAAUUUGAGUUUGAAGUUUAAAGACCCUUGUGGACAAGGCUCUGCAAAUGGGGGAGAUUUGAUACAGUUAUUUGUGGUGGCAAGAUAUUUUGCAGAGUCGCACGUGUGGGUCUUCAUGUGUGAGUUCAAGUGGGCGUAUCAAGCAACAUGUGUACGGUUCACAGCAGGAAGCCGUUAGGAGAAAGACUUUCUUAUCUUUAUAUGAGCACUUGUUUAGCUCUUAUCAUAAUCAAUCUGUAAACAAACUCUUAGUUCCGAUAUCGGUACACCAGUUUCUCUCGUUUUGAGAGCUGGUAAGUAAUCCUCCAUGUUUUAUGAACAUCGAGUGAUUAAGGUUUUCUAAUAAAAUGUUAUUCAGCUUA